AUGGAUAAGACCGGCCCCCUCCUCCCCAAAACCCUAGCAUCCCCUUUUCUUCCCUCUCGUGCCCCUGCCUCUCCUGCUCAACGCUCGUGCAAAGCCGUCACCGCCGCCUUCGUCGAUUCCACGGCCACCGGCCUCCUCUCGCCACGCCAAGACAUCCAGGAGCUCCUCCCUCGUCAUCUCCUUUGCCCGCGCAUAAGGGCCCGAGCUGGGAGGCCCCGUACGCUCGCCAUCGCCGUCGUCUUCGCCCACGGCCGCCGCAUCUCGUCGUCGAGUUCUUCGUGUCCGGCCACCCCCGCGCUCCCUGACCAUGUCCACAAGCUCCACGACCCCGAGACCGAUGCCGCCCCUGUGAUCGUCUACGUCGUCGACGACACUUCUUCCUUUACAGCAGAGCUUCCAGAUGGUGGAGCCCAGGAUCCAGACGCCACCUUCGACGACGACUACUACUACCCCGAGGGUGCCUACUACUACGUGAUGGCCGCUGACGACUUGGAGUAG
rnacentral:rRNA from 1 species